rnacentral:rRNA from 1 species
GAUGAACGCUGGCGGCGUGCCUAAUACAUGCAAGUCGAGCGAACGGACGAGAAGCUUGCUUCUCUGAUGUUAGCGGCGGACGGGUGAGUAACACGUGGAUAACCUACCUAUAAGACUGGGAUAACUUCGGGAAACCGGAGCUAAUACCGGAUGAUAUUUUGAACCGCAUGGUUCAAAAGUGAAAGACGGUCUUGCUGUCACUUAUAGAUGGAUCCGCGCUGCAUUAGCUAGUUGGUAAGGUAACGGCUUACCAAGGCAACGAUGCAUAGCCGACCUGAGAGGGUGAUCGGACACACUGGAACUGAGACACGGUCCAGACUCCUACGGGAGGCAGCAGUAGGGAAUCUUCCGCAAUGGGCGAAAGCCUGACGGAGCAACGCCGCGUGAGUGAUGAAGGUGUUCGGAUCGUAAAACUCUGUUAUUAGGGAAGAACAUAUGUGUAAGUAACUGUGCACAUAUUGACGGUACCUAAUCAGAAAGCCACGGCUAACUACGUG